AAUAGAUACCCUGGUAGUCCACGCCGUAAACGAUGAGUGCUAAGUGUUAGAGGGUUUCCGCCCUUUAGUGCUGCAGCUAACGCAUUAAGCACUCCGCCUGGGGAGUACGGUCGCAAGACUGAAACUCAAAGGAAUUGACGGGGGCCCGCACAAGCGGUGGAGCAUGUGGUUUAAUUCGAAGCAACGCGAAGAACCUUACCAGGUCUUGACAUCCCGGUGACCACUAUGGAGACAUAGUUUCCCCUUCGGGGGCAACGGUGACAGGUGGUGCAUGGUUGUCGUCAGCUCGUGUCGUGAGAUGUUGGGUUAAGUCCCGCAACGAGCGCAACCCUUAUUCUUAGUUGCCAUCAUUUCAGUUGGGCACUCUAAGGAGACUGCCGGUGAUAAACCGGAGGAAGGUGGGGAUGACGUCAAAUCAUCAUGCCCCUUAUGACCUGGGCUACACACGUGCUACAAUGGACGGUACAAACGGUUGCCAACCCGCGAGGGGGGCUAAUCCGAUAAAACCGUUCUCAGUUCGGAUUGUAGGCUGCAACUCGCCUACA
rnacentral:rRNA from 1 species